rnacentral:rRNA from 1 species
UCGCCUUUAGAUGGGCCCGCGUUGGAUUAGCUAGUUGGUGGGGUAAAGGCUCACCAAGGCGACGAUCCAUAGCUGGUCUUAGAGGAUGAUCAGCCACACUGGGACUGAGACACGGCCCAG